AACAGGCCAAAUAACAGUAAAUCACCAAUCACACUAGACUCGGGCUCCAUUAGCCACCUUAAGCAAUUUCACACAUUCGUUAAUUCAAGAAAUACCGUUUUAUCAUUUUGAACUUUAAUACCGUGAUAGGAAAUAGAGUGAGGGGUCCUUGCUUGUUUUCGGGAUCCGAAUACGAUUCACAGUGAGCCUGCAGGCCGUCCCUAAUUUUUCCCUGAAUUUUUUCCGGGGAACUGAAACACACUAACAGUACCUGCACGUGUUCCAAAAAAAAACCCAAAUUAGGCCCAGGGCCUCUUUCGGCCCAAAUCGCAACUCCGGCAUGGCGGCUCCGCCGUGCUCCGGCGACGGCGCCGCCGCUGGCGGCGGCGAGUCGCCUCGGGUUGGCUGUUUUCGGCCGUUUUCGGCCGAAUUCGGCCACACUCGCAUUGGUCAUUGUCAGAAAACAACCCUAGGGCCCUCGGGGGGCCAAAAAAUCACGGAAAAACGGAGCUUACCGGCGGCGGCGCUCUCGGGUGCGGCGGCUCUCCGGCGAGGUUCGUGUUUUGGUGAUUCGGCUCCGAUCAACCUGUAGAGAAAAGAAUGGUGAUCACGGUGAUAUAAAAAUUGCAUCGAACGGAGGCCGGGAAGGGCCUCGUCGGAGGCAAAAACCGAGAGGGGGCGCGGCGGCGCCGCUGGGCUUCGGCCGCGUAUUCCGGCCGUUUGGCCGGGAUUUCGGCCUCGAUUUGGCCAUAGGAGGAAUCAGCGGAGAAAAACGAGUCGGGGGUAUGAAAUUUACCUCGAUCGGCGGUCG
rnacentral:lncRNA from 1 species